rnacentral:rRNA from 1 species
GUCCUGCGGAAGGAUCAUUACCGAGUGCGGGUCUUUAUGGCCCAACCUCCCACCCGUGACUAUUGUACCUUGUUGCUUCGGCGGGCCCGCCAGCGUUGCUGGCCGCCGGGGGGCGACUCGCCCCCGGGCCCGUGCCCGCCGGAGACCCCAACAUGAACCCUGUUCUGAAAGCUUGCAGUCUGAGUGUGAUUCUUUGCAAUCAGUUAAAACUUUCAACAAUGGAUCUCUUGGUUCCGGCAUCGAUGAAGAACGCAGCGAAAUGCGAUAACUAAUGUGAAUUGCAGAAUUCAGUGAAUCAUCGAGUCUUUGAACGCACAUUGCGCCCCCUGGUAUUCCGGGGGGCAUGCCUGUCCGAGCGUCAUUGCUGCCCUCAAGCCCGGCUUGUGUGUUGGGCCCUCGUCCCCCGGCUCCCGGGGGACGGGCCCGAAAGGCAGCGGCGGCACCGCGUCCGGUCCUCGAGCGUAUGGGGCUUCGUCUUCCGCUCCGUAGGCCCGGCCGGCGCCCGCCGACGCAUUUAUUUGCAACUUGUUUUUUUCCAGGUUGACCUCGGAUCAGGUAGGGAUACCCGCUGAACUUAAGCAUAUCAAAAGUCGGGGA